CAGUCGCCGCGGUAAUACGAAGGGUGCAAGCGUUAAUCGGAAUUACUGGGCGUAAAGCGUGCGUAGGCGGUGAGUUAAGUCUGCUGUGAAAUCCCCGGGCUCAACCUGGGAAUGGCAGUGGAUACUGGCUCGCUAGAGUGUGUCAGAGGAUGGUGGAAUUCCCGGUGUAGCGGUGAAAUGCGUAGAGAUCGGGAGGAACAUCAGUGGCGAAGGCGGCCAUCUGGGACAACACUGACGCUGAGGCACGAAAGCGUGGGGGGCAAACAGGAUUAGAUACCCGCGUAGUCCCUGUCUCUUAUAC
rnacentral:rRNA from 1 species